CUCAUUUAAUCUCAAACUUUUUAUAUCAUCAACAUUAUAUGAUAUUAAUAAAUAAUGGCAUUUUCGUGUAUAUAACAUAACAGUAUAUUUAACAACUUUAUAUCUCAAUAUAUACAACAUUUUAAGUCAUAAAAAUAUUUUUAUAUCAACUUAAAGAAGAUUUUAAAGAGCUGAAUAACACAUACUACUUAUUGAGUUCUUCCAUCUUAUUGUUCAUAUGAACUUGGUAAUUCACAAUAAACUAUUUUACAAAUAAUGACUUGUCACAAAAAAGACAUGGUGUACAAGAGACAAAACUUUAUGAGAACCAUAAGAAUAACUUCUCAUUUUCUUUCUGAAAAUUGGAUGCUACAAGUGAAUUUCAAAAUUAUGAGACCCUUAUUGCAAAUAUGUAUAUGGUAAGAAACAGGUCUAUAAAACACUAAUGUAAUAAAAUAAAAGACAGGCAAUAGAAAAUGAAUAAGUAAUUCCAUUAACCCUGUUAACAAUGUUUAUGUAACAAAUAGACAGAGUCAAAGACAGAACAAAGAAGAGCACCUUUUAAGAUGAUAUAAUUAAUUGCUAUGGGGAUUACAAAACAAAUUUUAUAUUCAUAAUACAACAAAUUCUUCUAAACGCUGCCAUUUUGGGGAUUUUGAUUAAAAUAUAUAUGAGCACGAAUCUAAUUUAUACAGGUUAAAAUUAUGUAGAAACAAAUAACAAUCUUCUUUUUAUCAUGCAGUGAUUUUAAGACCAAAUUUUAAAAAAAGAAACAAAUUAUUAAAAAACUAAAAAACAGAGAGUUACAAUUAUUAAAGAAAUAAUCUUUUGCUGAUCAAUUGUGAACUUUAUAUUUUAAAAUUCAUUACAGUACUGCAGCAAAGAUUAAAAUGUGUACAAUACUUAUAAAAAGGUAAGUGCAUUAUUGUUAUAAAAAUCAUAAACAACCUUGAAAAUGAAUCACAGUAAGAAAUAUUAAAGCAAUUUUUAGAAAAGCAUUCAUUAUUGAUACUGUAAAUAAACUCAUCAUAGAUACCAGUAUCAAAAUUAUGUACACUAGACACUUUUUGUUUAUUAAGCCUCACCAAUGACCUAGCAAGACCCUCAUAGUUAGUCAAGGUCGUUAAAAAAAAAACCUCAUCAUCACCAAUGACGCUUGAGUCAAAAUAGUUAAAAAGGCCAAAAUAAAGUACAAAGUUGAAGAGCAUUGAAGACCAAAAGUUCUGAAAAAUUAAAUUAACUUAUUUUCAGGGAUAUUUUUUUGCAUCUAACAAUUUCAAGCUAACUUCAUAGCAAUUUGAUUUCACAGUCAUUUUACUUUGUCAACAUAUACAUUCAAAAAUACAUCAGUGCUGGACAUAUUCACUACAAAUAAUGUUCAUGUUAUUUUUCUACAUGGAAAAUUAGUUUGUUUACAGUUCACCAAAAAUAAAAAUGAAUAGCAUUAGAAUGAUGAACUGUGAGCUAUUGCCCUACACAAAUACUCGUCUUUAGUAUUUGGUAAUAUGAAGUCGAUCAGCAAUAGAUGUCAGAAUUCAUCACUGUGUAUAGCAUGCAGAUAAGCUUAUGACCAAUUUCAAAUAGCCCUGAUUCAUUAUUCCUGAGAAAAUGUGAAGAAAUUUUUAUACAUGGUCAUUACAUGUAAGAAUAUGUCAGUAUUUUGUAAGCAGGGAGUUAAUGGUUAUUUGAAUGUGAAAAUACAUUACAUGCAACGUGAUACCAAAUUUGAGAUCACUCUGAUGUCUAGUUCCAAGGAAAAUGUGAUAAAAAUUUUAUGAAACAGACAGAGUAAACCAUUAUUCCCCCUAAUCAGCACCGAUAUAUUAUCAUGUUAUUAACUUCCGAGUAUCAAAAUGGAUUUCAAUUUAAAAGCAUUCAAAAAAGCAAUGAGAAAACUAUAUCAACAUUUCAUAUUACAAUAAUAGCAUAGUCAAAUCUAUAUGGUUAAGAUAAUAUCAUUUGAUAAAACAUAAAAACAUAAAAACAUAAAAUGUAAAAAUAUCAGAUCAUGAUUUCUAAAAUUGUAACCAGAAUAUUAAAAAGGUGACAACAGU